GCACCGAGCCUCGGGGAAAUAGAGCAAUUCUUCUGGGCAGAGAAUUGAGGAACAGCCAUUUUGUGGGGAUGAAGAGGAGGCAGUGAAUCUCACAUUGCCAACUGGAGGAGGAAAGAUUACAGCCAAACAACAAAAUGGUCCCAGAAAUGCAGGUGCAGUGCAUUGAGUUCUCAGGGCCACCAUAAAAAAAAGAGACAACUGAGGCAAUAGAGGCAGACAGAGCGGACUGAUACGAUGUGGG